rnacentral:rRNA from 1 species
UACGUAGGGGGCAAGCGUUGUCCGGAAUCAUUGGGCGUAAAGCGCGUGUAGGCGGCCCAGUAAGUCCGCUGUGAAAGCCCAGGGCUCAACCCUGGGAUGCCGGUGGAUACUGUUGGGCUCGAGUCCGGAAGAGGCGAGUGGAAUUCCCGGUAUAGCGGUGAAAUGCGUAGAUAUCUGGAGGAACACCGAUUGCGAAGGCAGCUCGCUGGGACGUAACUGACGCUGAGACGCGAAAGCGUGGGGAGCAACAGG